rnacentral:rRNA from 1 species
GGCUCAGGAUGAACGCUAGCGGCAGGCUUUAUACAUGCAAGUCGUGGGGCAGCAGGUCUGUAGCAAUACAGAUGCUGGCGACCGGCAAACGGGUGCGGAACACGUACACAACCUUCCUUUAAGUGGGGAAUAGCCCAGAGAAAUUUGGAUUAAUACCCCGUAACAUUUUGAAGUGGCAUCACUUUAUAAUUAUAGCUACGGCGCUUAAUGAUGGGUGUGCGUCUGAUUAGGUAGUUGGCGGAGUAAUAGCCCACCAAGCCUACGAUCAGUAACUGGUGUGAGAGCACGACCAGUCACACGGGCACUGAGACACGGGCCCGACUCCUACGGGAGGCAGCAGUAAGGAAUAUUGGGCAAUGGACGCAAGUCUGACCCAGCCAUGCCGCGUGGAGGAUGAAGGUCCUCUGGAUUGUAAACUUCUUUUAUCUGGGAAGAAACCCAUCUUUUCUUGGGUGGUUGACGGUACCAGAUGAAUAAGCACCGGCUAACUCCGUGCCAGCAGCCGCGGUAAUACGGAGGGUGCAAGCGUUAUCCGGAUUCACUGGGUUUAAAGGGUGCGUAGGUGGGCAGGUAAGUCAGUGGUGAAAUCCUGUAGCUUAACUACAGAACUGCCAUUGAUACUAUUUGUCUUGAAUACCCUGGAGGUGAGCGGAAUAUGUCAUGUAGCGGUGAAAUGCUUAGAUAUGACAUAGAACAUCUAUUGCGAAGGCAGCUCACUACGGGAAUAUUGACGCUGAGGCACGAAAGCGUGGGGAUCAAACAGGAUUAGAUACCCUGGUAGUCCACGCCCUAAACGAUGAUCACUCGACAUCAGCGAUACACUGUUGGUGUCUGAGCAAAAGCAUUAAGUGAUCCACCUGGGAAGUACGAUCGCAA